AUGCUUCUACACAAGGAUGCGUCAUACAAAACAUACAGAGCCUUCUUUUCAAACAUUUCUGCCACACUUGAACUACCCAUUAAUGAUGUUGAAACUUCGUCUCCACGAAAAUAUAGAGUUUGCAGUGAUGACGAAAAAGCUAUGACCAAGGCGAUAGAAAAUGCAUUUCCAACUGCCAAACGAAGAUUGUGCACAAAACAUUUAAAGGACAAUGUACCACAUUACCUUCAAGAUCGUGUUGGUGUUAGCACCCAAGAAAGAAAAACCAUCAUCAACACAAUUUUUGGAGAUCAAGGAAUUGCAAGCGCAGACGACACAUUGCAAUUUGCAAGGGCAGAUUCGGAGCUUAAGGACUUGUGUGCAAAUCAUCCUCAGUUCCUGAAAUAUUACGAACAAAGUUUUAAGCCACGAGUUGAAGAAUUCGUUAAUGCACCCAAUAGACGUUUAGGCACUAAGCAAAUGUGGACGAACAACAAUGCAGAAUCCAUGAACCGGGUGAUGAAAGUGGCAGUCAACUGGAAGCCCCAACAUGCACCAGAUUUGGUUGAUAAACUAUUUGACAUGGUGGACUUCCAGUUCAUUAAUCUACGGUCAGCCCUUCAUCAUUCUGGGGACUACAUGCUGGUCAACUCAUACAAACAGUACACUAUAGCAGAUGCCAUCUGGAAAACAAAAUCAGACGAGGAAAAACGAAAGCUCUUUAAUAAUUUCCUGCAGGACAGUAAAAAAAGAAAACACGAAAAUAUCAUAACUUCAUCCGAUGGACUAUACUCUGUUGUGAACAAGGCUAAGUCAAUAGCCAAGAAACCUAUGCAGAGAAAGAGACCAAGAACAGAAAGAGCCGAAAAAAGACAUUAA
rnacentral:sRNA from 1 species